GCGGAGAUGGACGCCGCCGUCGCCCCCCAUCCCCACCGUCGACGGCCACCACCUCCUCUCCUCGAGGCCCAGUUCGAGCAGGCGAGGCGGAUUGGCGGCCUUGGCCACGCUGAUCUAGCGGACACAGCUUCGAUCCGGAGGAAGGGAUUUGGCAGCCAUGGUGAUGGGGGUCGCCUCCCUCCUCCCUCCCCUCGUCGGAGCUCACCGGCGGGACCCUAGGCUGGCGCGGCUCCCGUGUACAGAAGCCCGUCGCAGCAUCGCACAGCAGCAAUCCCAUCGCCCCAGACCGAUGCAUGGCGACCUCAGCAACUCUGGCCAGGAUGGUCACGGUCAGGUUCCACCAAUACCAGGUGGUCGGGAGGGGCCUGCCGACGCCGACCGAGGAGCAUCCCAGGAUCUACCGCAUGAAGCUCUGGGCCACCGGCGAGAUCUGCGCCAAGUCCAAGUUCUGGUGAGGACAUGAUUCAAAUUCGGAAGCCUCUCAAGAAUGCGUGAAGAAAAGCUACGGCCAGAUCCUCGCCUUCAACGAGGUGUGAGGAGGAGCCUGUGGCUGAGACUGCAUCAGCACAGAUGCUGCAACCCAUCACAGCGAGUUCCUCGGCCUCUGUUACGGCCGAUGCAGCAGCAACUCAAGACACCAUUCAUGCCUCGUGCCACUUCUACAUUUUCUUUCUCUGUUCUAGUUACUUAUGUGAUUUAUUCCUGGUACUUGUUGCUGUUGUAUUCUGAUUACUUGUUGUGACCGGUAUUGAGAGAUUUUGGUGGUUGCUUUGAGUACAUUUAA